rnacentral:rRNA from 1 species
AGCAGCCGCGGUAAUUCCAGCUCCAAUAGCGUAUAUUAAAGUUGUUGCAGUUAAAAAGCUCGUAGUUGAAUUUCGGGAUCAAUACGUCGGUCGUGCCUCUGGUAUGUACUGGUGUUAUUGAUUUCUCCCUUCUGAUGAACCAUGAUGUCAUUCAUUUGGUGUUGUGUGGAGUCAGGACUGUUACUUUGAAAAAAUUAGAGUGUUUAAAGCAGGCUCACGCUUGAAUACAUUAGCAUGGAAUAAUGAAAUAGGACGUUCGAUCCUAUUUUGUUGGUUUCUAGGAUCAACGUAAUGAUUAAUAGGGAUAGUUGGGGGCAUUAGUAUUCAAUUGUCAGAGGUGAAAUUCUUGGAUUUAUUGAAGACUAACUACUGCGAAAGCAUUUGCCAAGGAUGUUUUCAUUAAUCAAGAACGAAAGUUAGGGGAUCGAAGACGAUCAGAUACGUCGUAGUCUUAACCAUAAACUAUGCCGACUGGGGAUCGGAUGAUGUUAAUUUUUAAUGACUCAUUC